GGAUGCAUGACGUUCCCUCUUUUGUACUGUAUAGCUAAAAAUAGGCCUCAAAAAUAAGCUUCCUGAAAAAGGAACAAAAAUAAGAUCCUAUACACCAGACGCUUCACUCAAGUCUGUGGAUUUUCAGACCUCCGUUUGAGCACCAUCUCAAUCAUCUUCUGCUUAUUUAUUGAAAUAUUUAUCUUCUGAAGAAAAUGUUUGAUACAAAUUGACACGUUUCUGUUAAUUUAUUGAGAAUCUUAUUAAUAUAAUCUCCUGAAGAAAAUGGAAGAACAAUCCAGCUUCUCACAUUGUGAAAAGAAUGAUGUGGAAUGUAUCUUAUCGUAUUCAGUAACCUAAGAGACCUUGAAGUUUCCCUGUUCACGUAUGGGCUACAUGGGCUUAUCUUCUUAAUGGGUUCAUCAGAGUGUUUGUCUUACCAUGUACUGAGGAAAGGGGUUUUUUUAUUUCUUUUAUCCAUUCAAGGGUUAGUCCAAACACUGACAAUUUGAACUUGGGCAGUUUUCAUGCUGGUAUUUUUUAUUUAGCUUACAUGCUAUGUUUUAAACAAUAUUGAUUUUUUUUAAUACACAAAGUUGUACAAUUUUAGUUAAACAAAUCAGUUUAACUCUGUGGAAUGAUUUUUCCCCAGAACAGCUCAGAACUUUUUUCAGACCUGACUGAUGACUCCCAAGCCAGACGUGCUGCAGGCAUUUCUGGUCUCGAAGUCAGGAUCGACACCAAAGAAUUAGUCUUGGGUAAAUGUCUAAACGUCCUAGGGGCACUGCUUGAGAAACCAACCUUUAAUGCAUGAAAUUAACAGUGAUGUCUCAACAUUUGUUUUGUGAUAGGUGAUUGGUAUCAGUGAAAAUAUUGGGUAAUAAGACCAUGAAAUGUACUGGUAUUGUUUCCUGUUGAAUACUAGUCAUUGUUGAUAAGUUGAUCUCAUCUGCAUGUAUAGACUAGUUGUGUCAGCUAUUAGUUAUUUCAGAAAGGACUUUUCUAAUACCUUUUUUGUGUGUGUUUGUCACUUUCUGAUGUUAAAAGAAAUAACAGGUAUUGCUGGAGCUGGUCAAAGUGUAAGAAUUGCAACACAAACAAAUUUUAACACUGUGAUUAGAGAAGGCCUUAAUUACUUGCAUAUCACACAAGUACUUAAAAAUUAUCUUUACAGAUGAAGUCACGAAAUCUUCACUGUGUAAAAGAUGUGUCCCUUAACUGGCUUCUGCUUGUGGAAUAGAUUAACUAAUACAUUACACAUAGUAUUUUAUAUUAGAUUAUUACUUUUUUUCUGAAAAGUCUUGAAUAUAUACCUUAGAAAAUGCUAUUGGGAAAAUGAAUAAUCAAACUCAUCGUGUUCUGACAAGCAUUAACAAUAUAACCGAGUAUGGAAAUAAGUGAAAAGAGAGUAUCUCUUCUCAAAAAAGAAAAAAAAAAAAUGCUACCAGCAAAUCAGAAAUGACAAGCAAGGUCAAUCUUGCUUAGUAUAAUUCUUGAUUAUUUUUACAGUGGAUAGGUAGUUCACUACAGUUUGUUUUUUGUUUGGGUUUUUUUUUCCCAAUCCCAAUUAUUUUAAAUGAAUUAGAAAACUGAGAAAAUUCCAUAAGAUUUAUUCUUAAAGACAGUACACUUACAACUGAAUGACAAUUUUGUGUUAAAUUAUUACAAGUAGUUCAACACCUCAAGGUCACUGCAGAGGAGUAUGCUUUGUUUUGAUAUGCUACACUUUUGUAAAUCAAGUGAGUAUUUAGAAGUAAAAACCUGGUUGGAAAACUUACUUUAAACAGCUGACCUUUAAAGGGAGAAAAAUACUGCAUCUUCAUUUCUUUACCACUUUUUUUCCCCUAGUUUAGAUGCUGUCAACUUGUUAGAUCUGUAAUCAGCAAAUGACUCAGUAAACAGCAUUUUUUACUUCGAAUUACAAACAUCACUUCAUUCACCUCUUGGGUUUCAUGGAGAUCUCUUUAGUUACCAUUUGCUUGACCCCAUAUUUUGGGAAAAAAAAAAAAUAUAUAUAUAUAUAUAUGUAUGUAUUUAUGUAUAUAUAUUUAUAUGCUUAAUUUCAGCCCAAUUUAUGAGAUCACAUGGUGAUUCAUGUAAUGAAGAAGAAACUAGUUUCACAUUUUUGCUGAAAAUUAAAUUUUUAUUGUUACUGUGGACAACUUUUUCCCUUCCCCAUGAAAAUGUUUUUACAUGCUUUGUCUUACUUGAGAAAUGCAAGUUAUCUAGCACAGGAGAUGUCUCUACCUCUGUGUAUAUAUAGUCACUAGUAUAAUAAUGUUGUGGUUUCUUUCUGAAGACUCUAAGCCUUACAUUAUUAGUAUGGCAUGAAACUAGUGGUGAACUAGAGAACAGCAGAAGAUGAAGGUAAAUACCAUGAAUGGCUGAUGCAGACUGCCAGUAUUAUUCAUGCAGAAACAAAAUCCCCAAAGAAAUUCAAGUUUGGAAAACAGAAUGACAAGUUUCUAGGAAAAAAAAAGCCUUCAGAAAACUAAAUGAAAUAAUGGACUGCAGAAAAAGCCUUCUCUGCUGGAAAUAACAGUAUAGAAUGUGGUGCUUUAAAACUGCAACAAAAGCAAAGCAAUACCAAUAUGUUGGCCACGCCAUGCAUACUGUCACUAAUUUUGAAAACCAGGAUGCACUGAAUUAGAUGUGUAUCUUGAUGGGCAUCCUAGCUUAGAAGGACAAUAUUACUAGUGCCAGUACCUGGAGUACUAAUGAUACCUUAAAUUUUAUUUCGUAAGUACAUAACUUCUGUAGAUAUACUUUUUCUUAAAUCUGUAGGGCAUUGUUCUAAUUAACUACUUAGCUAAUCUUAUUCUAAAUUAAAUUGAGUUGCUGGUGCAAUUAAGAUUCAGUAGUGUUCUGAUUUUUAUGAGUAAUGUUGCAGGCUGGAUUAUUGCAAUUAAUUACAACAAAGAUACUGAAAAAAACCACAUUCUUUUUAGCAAGAACAAAGCUUUCAUGUAUGCUUUGCUAUAGAUCAAAGAUGUCCUGUGAUGAUGUCCUGACAUUAUAAAUAUGCAAGUAUUUGGAAAUUUAACUUUCACAGUAUUAAAAUUAAUUAAUAAAAUGUUUUAUCUGUAUUGUACAUUGUGAAUGUGCUGCUGGCAAACAUAUGUUCCAUUCAAAGUAAUUUGAAUAAAACUUUUAAAGAAUGAAAAUGCAUUGUAACAUUUCA
ensembl:lncRNA